rnacentral:rRNA from 1 species
GAUGAACGCUGGCGGCGUGCCUAAUACAUGCAAGUCGAGCGAACAGACGAGGAGCUUGUUCCUCUGACGUUAGCGGCGGACGGGUGAGUAACACGUGGAUAACCUACCUAUAAGACUGGGAUAACUUCGGGAAACCGGAGCUAAUACCGGAUAAUAUAUUGAACCGCAUGGUUCAAUAGUGAAAGACGGUUUUGCUGUCACUUAUAGAUGUAUCCGCGCCGCAUUACCUAGUUGGUAAGGUAACGGCUUACCAAGGCAACGAUGCGUAGCCGACCUGAGAGGGUGAUCGGCCACACUGGAACUGAGACACGGUCCAGACUCCUACGGGAGGCAGCAGUAGGGAAUCUUCCGCAAUGGGCGAAAGCCUGACGGAGCAACGCCGCGUGAGUGAUGAAGGUCUUCGGAUCGUAAAACUCUGUUAUUAGGGAAGAACAAAUGUGUAAGUAACUAUGCACGUCUUGACGGUACCUAAUCAGAAAGCCACGGCUAACUACGUG